rnacentral:lncRNA from 1 species
UUGUUGAAUAAAAAAUAUUACAUGGAUAUCCCAGAAUUUUCUGUCCAUUUACUGGUGAUAAAAAUUGGAGUUGUUUCCAAAUAAAGUUGAUAUGAAUAUGUACGUACAAGUGUUUGAAUAGACAUAUAUUUUCAUUUAUCUUAGGUAAAUGUAUAGGAGUGGAGUGGCUAGAACAUAUAAUAGCUACAUGUUUAACUUUUUAAGAUACCAACAAACCGUUGCUGAAAGUGGUUCUACCAUUUUACAUUACCUGUCAGAAUUGUAAAAGUUUCAGUCUCUCCACAUCCUUGUUAACACUUAUUAUGAUAAGCCUUUUUCACUUUAAGCACUACUGUGAUGUCCAGUGGUAUAUCAUUGUGGUUUCAAUUUUACAUUUCUUUGAUGAAAACAAUUUGAACACAUUUUUAUGUUUUAAUAUAUUAUGCAUAUCUUUUAUUUUUGGAAAUAUAUGUUCAAAUUGUUUGCCCAAAUUGUUAUGGGGUUGCCUCGUUUCUUAGCAGUGAAUUUUGACAGUGUUUUAAGUAUUCUGAACAUGAAUCUUUUAUCAAAUAUAUAAUUUGCAAUUAUUUUCUCUUAAUCCGUAGAUUUUUUUUCAUUUCCAUCAGUGUCUUUCAAAAAGCAAAAAUGUUGGCCAGGCACGGUGGCUCAUGCCUGUAAUUCCAGCACUUUGGGAGGCCGAGGUUGGCGGAUCACGAGGGCAGGAGAUCCAGACCAUCCUGGCCAACAUGGUGAAACCCCGCCUCUACUAAAAAUACAAAAAUUAGCUGGGCGUGGUGGUGGGUGCCUGUAAUCCCAGCUACUCAGGAGGCUGAGGCAGGAGAAUUUCUUGAACCAGAUAGUCAGAGGUUGCUGUGAGCCGAGAUCAUGCCACUAUACUCCAGCCUGGUGACAGAGUGAGACUCUGUCUCCCAUGUGCAUGAGAAGCUGUUAUGUAAUAUCCGUAACUGGUUUGAAAAUCACUUGCCCAUUCAAUUCAGUUUGUCUUUACAAGCAGUUGCUCGGAGAGGUAGAUCAGUAGCCCUUUCUCAAGGAAGGGCCUGUGCUAUGAUUUCAGUGAGCUCUGUCUGAACAUGAUGUGAUCCAGUGGCUACAGGUUUGAACAACAGAGUCUUCCCCUAUCUCCUGCAAUAAAGUACAUAACAAAGAGAAGCUGAGUUAAAAUUGUUGGGGUUUAGCAUAUAUGACAAAAAAAAAAAAAGAAAUCAAUAGAAAUCUAUUCAUAAGGUAAAGUUUGGGGUGAAGACAGGUGGUUGGUGAAUAUAUAGAACAGCAACUACUUUGGGCGGUCUUGAUGCCAGGUCAAUGCCAAAGUCUACCUAUUGGUCUGAAUAAAUAUUUGCCCAUACUCACAGGCUUGGUCAGGAUUUGUGUAGAAAGUGCACAGCAGAACUGAGCCUAUGCAUUCAAAGUCCUGAGUACCCCUACAAAGGAAGAGGACACAAAUGAAAAAUAUUCCCUCAUACCAAGGAUUGUCCUGAAAUCCAAGACCAUAUUUUAUGAGAAGACAUACAUCAGAGAGAGAGAGAUUACAGUAUGCAAUCUCUCAGCUGCCAACAGAACACAGAUGGGCUUGGGAACAGAGAAUGAUCCAGAUCUGCAGGACUGGAGCAAUCCGUGGGAAGUUUGGACAGAAGAUCUGAUGCAUAAGACAGUAAAGGACUAUUGAAUGUUCCAUGAUAGAUAUGCUUGUUCUUUUGCCUGCAUGCCCUUGAAUAAAGACAUUUUGAUCUCCAGGACCAACCUGAGAAACAUAUAAUUUAAUCUAGUUUUGAAAGAAGAGCCCUGCUACACAAAUACUGGCUCACAAUGUUAAGAGAUAUCAACUGAAAUAUCAAAGGGCUUUCAUAUUUCAUUAAAUUGACUAUCCUAUGUGUUUGAUAUUUCCAUUUAAUUGAAUAUUUCUUAACUCAAUGAAAAAUGUAUGAGCCUGCUGUGAUAAAUUCGGUGUCGCAUAUGGGAAUUUCAAGUGUCUUUGAUUGAAUCUUAUUUCUUGAUAUCUCACCUUUCAGAAGAGAGAUACAAAAAGACUGUUAGCCUGCUUGCUUCUGUUUUUUCUGCCCCAUCUCCACCCUUAUUCCCAAACUGUGGUUCACACAUUUAUUUCUAUUUUUAAAAAUUUUCUCUUGCUGCUGCCAUUCUCUUAUUACUCAUUUUUUAAAUACCCAGUCCACUUUCCUUACUUUUCUUUAAUGUCUGCCUCAGAGCUCAGCUUUUUUAGUUAAUUGAUGACAUCACUAGCCUUUAGUUCUGAGAGACUGAAUAUACAGUCACACCAUACAUUGAAACAGAAUUCUAAGCCACAAAUUGCAAUAACCAGAGCAAGACCACAGCCUCCAUGGCAAUUAGCCCAAAAUGGUCAGGACCUGAUCAAUAACGGACAACUUUCAUAAUUUUUAGCCCCCUUCCCCCACUUCCAGCUUGGGACCAACUGGAGAAAGACAAAUAUGCUGCCUAACCACCCGCAUAGGAUGCUUUUCUUUCAAUUAUCGGGCUUCCGACUUCCCCGGACCAAUAGCCUCCAAUCAGGCAGACCUGAAGCCUUCCCUUUUUCCCAUUCUAAAGCUUUCCUACUCCUCUGCCUGCCUUUGAGUCUCCGACAAACACAAAUAAUGGCGGUUAACUUCUUUACUAUGCUAGCUCUGAAUAAAUAUCCUUAUUAAUAUACUUUUCUUGUUCGCAUCUGGGUGCACUUCAUUUGUUUCCAUAGUUCUUUCAUUCCAUGAACUUUCCAAUUAAAAACUGUUUUGAAUAAAUGCCACGGUCUUGGCUUUUCUGCAAUCAUCAACUCUCUCUAGCUUCUGCCUUCAAUUCCACACCUUAUCCAGAUGCAAACUAGCUUUUAGGAAGCUUUAGGAGGUAUUUUUUUUUCACUACGUAUAUUUUAUUUGACUGAAAAAUGAUAAAAUAUCAUUUAAAUUGAAUGUGCACCAACUGUGGCUCCUAAGCUGAAUAAUAACAUAAAUUUGUAUCCAUAAGCAUAAUAGGACAUUUAAUAAUCCUUGUUACAUCUAUUGAUUAACAUACUCUGUAAAGUCAUUUGGUCUUGUGCCAAAUAGAAACUAUAAAAAUAUAAUGAGCUUUUUGUCAAAAACUGUUAUGUAAGGCCUUGGAAGCUUCUAGUAGUUCAGUGCUUUCUAUUCCAUUCACGUUUUUGUUGAAAUAAAAUGGAAAAGAAAAUAACCUUGUAUAUGCAUAUUAGAACUAACAGGUAAGGGUUUCCAUGGAUACUUCUUUUAUGCAGCCAAAGAGUUCGUGUGCGGAAAAAGGCAUUCAUUUCUAGUUCUAAGAGAUUCUGUUCUGAUAAGGAACUCCUGCCAAUCAUUUUAUGUCUU